rnacentral:rRNA from 1 species
GAUGAACGCUAGCGGCAGGCUUAAUACAUGCAAGUCGAGGGGCAGCAUGAUUGUAGCAAUACAAUUGAUGGCGACCGGCAAACGGGUGCGGAACACGUACACAACCUUCCUUUUAGUGGGGAAUAGCCCAGAGAAAUUUGGAUUAAUACCCCAUAAGAUAAUGAGAUGGCAUCAUCUUAUUAUUAAAGAUUCGGCGCUAGAAGAUGGGUGUGCGGCUGAUUAGGAAGUUGGCGGGGUAACGGCCCACCAAGCCUACGAUCAGUAGCUGAUGUGAGAGCAUGAUCAGCCACACGGGCACUGAGACACGGGCCCGACUCCUACGGGAGGCAGCAGUAAGGAAUAUUGGACAAUGGACGCAAGUCUGAUCCAGCCAUGCCGCGUGAAGGAUUAAGGUCCUCUGGAUUGUAAACUUCUUUUAUUUGGGACGAAAAAAGAUCAUUCUUGGCCACUUGACGGUACCAGAUGAAUAAGCACCGGCUAACUCCGUGCCAGCCGCCGCGGUAAGAC